rnacentral:tRNA from 1 species
AGGUUUCGUAGUGUAGUGGUUAGCACUGAGGACUUUGAAUCCUCCAACCCGGGUUCGAGUCCCGGCGAGACCUU